GACGAACGCUGGCGGCGUGCCUAAUACAUGCAAGUAGAACGCACAGUUUAUACCGUAGCUUGCUACACCAUAGACUGUGAGUUGCGAACGGGUGAGUAACGCGUAGGUAACCUGCCUGGUAGCGGGGGAUAACUAUUGGAAACGAUAGCUAAUACCGCAUAAUAUUAAUUAUUGCAUGAUAAUUGAUUGAAAGAUGCAACUGCAUCACUACCAGAUGGACCUGCGUUGUAUUAGCUAGUAGGUGAGGUAACGGCUCACCUAGGCGACGAUACAUAGCCGACCUGAGAGGGUGAUCGGCCACACUGGGACUGAGACACGGCCCAGACUCCUACGGGAGGCAGCAGUAGGGAAUCUUCGGCAAUGGACGAAAGUCUGACCGAGCAACGCCGCGUCAGUGAAGAAGGUUUUCGGAUCGUAAAGCUCUGUUGUAAGAGAAGAACGGGUGUGAGAGUGGAAAGUUCACACUGUGACGGUAUCUUACCAGAAAGGGACGGCUAACUACGUG
rnacentral:rRNA from 1 species